UUCGUGAAAUUCUGUUGUGUGGUUUGAGAGGAGUUGCGAUGACAAACUGUUGCAGUAGUACAUUAAAGUAAAAAAGUUCAAAGGGGCGUAACUCCUAGAAAAAAAAUUGAAUCGCAAUUUCCCGUCGAUAUGCACAACUACAUAGUAUGUCCUUAUUAUCUGAAAAGGUUUCGUGAAAUUCUGUUGUGUGGUUUGAGAGGAGUUGCGAUGACAAACUGUUGCAGUAGUACAUUAAAGUAAAUAAGUUCAAAGGGGCGUAACUCCUAGAAAAAAAAUUGAAUCGUAAUUUCCCGUCGAUAUGCACAACUACAUAGUAUGUCCUUAUUAUCUGAAAAGGUUUCGUGAAAUUCUGUUGUGUGGUUUGAGAGGAGUUGAGAUGACAAGAAACAGGAC
rnacentral:lncRNA from 1 species